rnacentral:rRNA from 1 species
AUUGAACGCUGGCGGCAGGCCUAACACAUGCAAGUCGAACGCGUGGCGGACGGGUGAGUAAUGUCUGGGAAACUGCCUGCUGGAGGGGGAUAACUACUGGAAAAGGUAGCUAAUACCGCAUACCCUCGGAGGUGCCCAGAUGGGAUGUGCUAGUAGGUGGGGUAACGGCUCACCAAGGCGACGAUCCCUAGCUGGUCUGAGAGGAUGACCAGCCAAACUUGAACUGAGACACGGUCCAGACUCCUACGGGAGGCAGCAGUGGGGAAUAUUGCACAAGGGGGGCAAGCCUGAUGCAGCCAUGCCGCGUGUAUGAAGAAGGCCUUCGGGUUGUAAAGUACUUUCAGCGAGGAGGCGUUACCCGCAGAAGAAGCACCGGCUAACUCCGUGCCAGCAGCCGCGGUAAUUC